CGACGUUCAUUUACCACUUCGGAUUUAGGAGCAGCAAAACCCUCCCGAAUCAAGUUUAGUUUCGUUAGUCACUGAAAGCCAUAGUUUAUGGAAAGCCGGUGACUAUGUUGUUGGUCCAACUUCUAAGCCAUCUCCCAGUCAAGGUCACUUGGAUCAUGCACGAGUUCAUCCCAAGUUUCUUCAUUCUAAUGCCACUUCUCAUAAGUGGGCUUUCGGAGCAAUUGCUGAGCUAGUGGAUAAUGCUGUUGAUGAGGUCCAAAAUGGUGCAACUUUUGUUAAGGUUGACAAGCUUAAGAACAAGAAGGAUAAUUCAC